UACAGAGGUCUCAAGCGUUGUUCGGAUUCAUUGGGCGUAAAGGGUGUGUAGGUGGCGCCGUAAGUCGGGUGUGAAAUUUCGGAGCUUAACUCCGAAACUGCAUUCGAUACUGCGGUGCUUGAGGACUGGAGAGGAGACUGGAAUUCAUGGUGUAGCAGUGAAAUGCGUAGAGAUCAUGAGGAAGACCAGUGGCGAAGGCGGGUCUCUGGACAGUUCCUGACACUGAGGCGCGAAAGCCAGGGGAGCGAACGGG
rnacentral:rRNA from 1 species